GUGGGGAAUUUUGGACAAUGGGCGCAAGCCUGAUCCAGCAAUGCCGCGUGCAGGAAGAAGGCCUUCGGGUUGUAAACUGCUUUUGUACGGAACGAAACGGCUCUGGUUAAUACCCGGGGCUAAUGACGGUACCGUAAGAAUAAGCACCGGCUAACUACGUGCCAGCAGCCGCGGUAAUACGUAGGGUGCAAGCGUUAAUCGGAAUUACUGGGCGUAAAGCGUGCGCAGGCGGUUUUGUAAGACAGGCGUGAAAUCCCCGGGCUCAACCUGGGAAUUGCGCUUGUGACUGCAAGGCUGGAGUGCGGCAGAGGGGGAUGGAAUUCCGCGUGUAGCAGUGAAAUGCGUAGAUAUGCGGAGGAACACCGAUGGCGAAGGCAAUCCCCUGGGCCUGCACUGACGCUCAUGCACGAAAGCGUGGGGAGCAAACAGGAUUAGAUACCCCUGUAGUCC
rnacentral:rRNA from 1 species